CCUACGGGUGGCAGCAGUGGGGAAUAUUGCGCAAUGGGCGAAAGCCUGACGCAGCGACGCCGCGUGAGGGAUGAAGGUCUUCGGAUCGUAAACCUCUGUCAGCAGGGAAGAACGGUCACUGUGCUAAUCAGCAGUGAAUUGACGGUACCUGCAAAGGAAGCACCGGCUAACUCCGUGCCAGGAGCCGCGGUAAUACGGAGGGUGCGAGCGUUAAUCGGAAUUACUGGGGGUAAAGCGCUCGUAGGCGGUUUGUAAAGGCAAGGGGUAAAUCCCCGCGGUCAACGUGGGAAAUGCUUUUGAAACUGGUAAACUGGAGUGUGUGAGAGGAUAGUGGAAUUCCAGGUGUAGGAGUGAAAUCCGUAGAUAUCUGGAGGAACACCAGUGGCGAAGGCGACUAUCUGGCACAUAACUGACGCUGAGGAGCGAAAGCGUGGGUAGCAAACAGGAUUAGAUACCCUUGUAGUC
rnacentral:rRNA from 1 species